AUGACUGAGUGGAGGACAACCAAAGCAAAUGAAAGGAGGAGGAGUGGGGGAGAUGGAGGACAGGGUAGAAAGAGUGAAAGGAGAGGGGACGAGAGAAAGCCAGAAGAGGAGUUAGAAAGAUCAGCCUUGUUCCCUGGCAGUGUCUCGGGGAGAGGAGAGAGAGAUCAGCCUUGUUCCCUGGCAGUGUCUCUGGAGAGGAGAGAGAGAAAGAUUAGCCUUGUUCCCUGGCAGUGUCUCGGGAAGAGGAGAGAGAGAAAGAUCAGCCUUGAUCCCUGGCAGUGUAUCGGGGAGAGAGAGAGAUCAGCCUUGUUCCCUGGCAGUGUAUCGGGGAGAGGAGAGAGAGAUCAGCCUUGAUCCCUGGCAGUGUCUCAGGGAGAGAGAGAGACAGCCUUGUUCCUGGCAGUGUAUCGGGGAGAGGAGAGAGAGAUCAGAGAGAGAGAUCAGCCUUGUUCCCUGGCAGUGUCUCGUGGGGCCGUAGGGUAAAACCCUCCCAAACCCCUGAGUUCAGGCUGUUUAAUGAAACUGUGAUUUAUAUGGAACCUGAACCAUAAACCAUAAUAUAUCCCCCUCUGUGUGAUUGGUUCAGCCAGGCCCCUACCACCCCCUGUGAAAGCUCAGAGACACACACACACGCAAAAGCGUACGAACACAGGCACACAAACGCGUACACACACACACCCUCCCCCUCCACCAGCAUCUGCACCCCUUCCCCCUCUCUUUAAAGAGAGAUCAAAUCAUACUACCACCCCCCCCAAUACCAAUAAAGCCCACUGACUACCAUAUUCAGAGAUGAAAGAUCCACACACAAAAAAUAAAAUAGUCUCUCCCUGAAAACAGGUUUUAAUAUCCAGUCCACUGCAUAGUCUUAUUUGCUGCUUCCAGCCUGUCCUGUUGUGGUGGGCCUGGCUACUGUCACAGCGAACACUAACACACAUUUCCCUGCAUCCAGUGUACAAUGGACCAGUAGAGACGGUGUGUGUGAUAACUAUCCAGAAUAGAGAAGUUGUUACACUCUUAGACAAAAGGGUUCCAAAAGGGUUCUUCGGCUGUCCCCAUAGGAGAACCCUUUGAAGAAUCCAUUUGGGUUUCUGUGGAAAGGGUUCUACACAGAACCCAAACGGGUUCUCCUAUAUGGGGAGAGCCAAAGAACCCUUUUAGGUUCUAUAUCCAGCCUUUUGUUUCUGAGUGUUGAUACCAUAGCGCUGYAUGGCAGUAUAUCACCACACACCUCUCUGAUGAACUACMAGAGUAUAGUGAACUAGGGAACACAAUGAAAAAUAACAAAUUGAUAAAGUUUGAACUAAGUAUAGUCUAUCUUGAUCUAGGAGCUCUGUAGCAGAUAAACACAUAUUGUAUUACUUAUGUAGUCAUGCAGCCAUGGGUAUCUUAUAUAUGAGCCCAAAGGGCUCUGGUCAACAGUAGUGCCCUAUAUCGGGAAUAGGGCUCUGGUCAACAGUAGUGCCCUAUAUAGGGAAUAGGGCUCUGGUCAACAGUAGUGCCCUAUAUAGGGAAUAGGGCCCUCAGGUCAACCAGUAGUGCCCCUAUACAUGGAGUAUGUUUAUUUUUGAACAG
ensembl:lncRNA